rnacentral:rRNA from 1 species
AACGAACGCUGGCGGCAUGCCUAACACAUGCAAGUCGAACGAGACCUUCGGGUCUAGUGGCGCACGGGUGCGUAACGCGUGGGAAUCUGCCCUUGGGUUCGGAAUAACAGUUGGAAACGACUGCUAAUACCGGAUGAUGUCGUAAGUCCAAAGAUUUAUCGCCCAAGGAUGAGCCCGCGUAGGAUUAGCUAGUUGGUGAGGUAAAGGCUCACCAAGGCGACGAUCCUUAGCUGGUCUGAGAGGAUGAUCAGCCACACUGGGACUGAGACACGGCCCAGACUCCUACGGGAGGCAGCAGUGGGGAAUAUUGGACAAUGGGCGAAAGCCUGAUCCAGCAAUGCCGCGUGAGUGAUGAAGGCCUUAGGGUUGUAAAGCUCUUUUACCCGGGAUGAUAAUGACAGUACCGGGAGAAUAAGCUCCGGCUAACUCCGUG